rnacentral:snoRNA from 1 species
UCUCUCCAGAUUCCUUGUCUCUCAGAUCUAAAUAUUGGUCUGAGUGGCUAAAAAAGGAGGAAAAGUAAAACUGAAGUGGCUUGGAGUCUUCAAUGACUUACAAAUUCAUUUCAAAUAUAA